rnacentral:sRNA from 1 species
AGAUGGGGCAGAGCCAGAGGGAAGGGGCGGGGCUUAGGUCUAGAUUGCGGCUCUGGGCCGGGGUUUAGAUUGUUUGGGCGGGGAGCGUGCUACUUCCUCGACCCAUACAGUACAAGUCUGGGGAAGGGCGAAAAGACCCACCCUGAGCCUUGUGAAUUGCACGGAGGCUGCCAGUCUUGAGUUCGGGUUUCUCGCAGAUGCUGGAGUUGUGUGACAAAAGUGUGACUACCCCCUCCUCUCUCUGGGUAUUCUGUGGGGUGGAUCCGCUCGCUCCCCAGAUUCUGCAGUGAGAACCUGCUGCCUCUCUGCUCCACGCUCGAGCUCUGACAAGAGGAUCCACUUCCUGGGUUGCAUGGACCCACUCCCAGUCUGAGGGGAGGAUCUGCUCACUGCCCUCCUGGGCGCUGUGGAGAGAGCCUAUUCCCCAUCUGAGUUCUAUGGGUGGCACAUUUUCCCUGCCUGCUUCAGAGAGAAGGACCUGUUACGGGCCUGAGCCCUGUGGGUGCUCACGACCGGUUUCUGAACUCUUGUAGUACUGAGAGCUGAGGUGGUCUCCGGUCUAGUACCACUAUGUCUCCAGUGCAGAGCUCCCUGCCUCCCUUCCACAGCUACCGACAUUAUAGUCACCUCCUGAAAAGCUCUUCAGUGCCAAGACCGGGUCCUAUCCUGUCCGCGGCGCGCUGACAUGACGUCACAACCGAGUUAAGCUAAGGUGGAAGAGUGUGAAGAAGCCAGGAAAAUGCUGAUAGGGGGAGGAUCCCCAAGACAAGAGGAGUUCUGGAAAUUCAAGCACUGGGAAGAAGGACUGCUAACUGGAGCUACAAGGUAGUUUUAAGAAGCUGAAAUGCUACCAGAAGGCCCAUGAGGACAUGGCAUACAGCUAACUGGAGGAAUUUUGCAUCAGAGGGCUCAGAUCUGACGGGAGCUCAGAAUCAGAUGAUGUAAGAAGCCUGGGCAUGAUGAGACGCCAUAUGAACAUGGGCAGAAGAUGCUCAUCAAAGAGUUUAUAUCCAAAUGGACAGGGAGAGACUCCACUGAUGUCAGCAGAAAACCAUUUGCAUUUGGAAAAUACAGAUUGAAGUCAGAGCGAGAUACCUUUGGAGUUCAGAAGAGAGGCUGAAUUGAAACAAGAACAUGGACAACUACAGGUUGCCCAGGGUUUGGUACCACUGGGAUUCUUCUAUACUACCAACAGGAGCUAAACUGGUGCAUGCAGUUUGGAAAACAGCGGUGCAGUUUCUACUAAACCCGGCCAUACACACACCUUGUGUUGCAGCAGUUACAGGCACGUAAGCCUUACAUGUACCUAGGUCCAGCCUAGAUACAGUUCUGUGUAGCUCAAUGAACUGCGUAGAUAUCAGAAAGAAAAAAAAAUACUACCUGGAUUUCAUAUAGCAGCAUUCCACAUCCUAGACAGUAUCUGUGAUACUGUUAGCCAAUAGCAAAGCAUAAAACUGCAUGCUGAUAUGCAUGUGAAUACGAGAAAUAAUGCAUGAAUUGCUACAUGCAGAGACAAGGAGACACCCAGACAUGGCUGAGCCAAAGCUUAACAUGAAAAUGUAAGUGGUUCAUGAUUACAUUAAUGAAACUCAAAACACCCAAGUUACUCACUCCCUGGCAUUAGAAACCAGCAUAGAGGUUCUCUUGAGGCAGAGAGGGUCACUAAUGAUAUAUUUACCUGGGAGUUAGUUCCCCAAGUCCACACUGGGAAAACAUUUGGAUGAAGGCUCAUGACUGUGGGUAGUUUUACAGGUUUGUUAAAUCUCAUUAAAAUGUUAAAAAGAAUUGGGUGGUAUAAGAGGUUUUAUUUGAA